GCCAGUGUGGCUCAGUUGGUUGAGUGUUGUCCUGUGCACCAAAGGGUUGCUGGUUCAAUCCCAGCAACUGGUC
rnacentral:tRNA from 1 species